AGCUGGGAAGACAGAGCUCCAGCUCCUGGCACCCAGCUCUGCUCUACACACCAUGGCCUGGACCCCCGUGCUCCUCCUCGUGCUCCUCUCUCACUGCACAGGUUCCCUGUCCCAGCCUGUGGUGACUCAGCCGCCCUCCCUCUCUGCAUCUCUGGGAGCCACAGCCAGACUCACCUGCACCCUCAGCAGUGGCUUCAGUGUUGCUGACUACGACAUACGCUGGUUCCAGCAGAAGCCAGGGAGCCCUCCCCGGUACCUCCUGAGGUACAAAUCAGACUCAAACAAGUACCAGGGCUCCGGGGUCCCCAGCCGCUUCUCUGGAUCCAAAGACACCUCAGCCAACGCUGGGCUCCUGACCAUCUCUGACCUGCAGCCUGAGGACGAGGCUGACUAUUACUGUAAUACGUGGCACGAUAGCAGUAAAACUUACACUGUGCUCCAGAGUCACGGGGAAGUGAGACUAAAACCCUCCCUGUGAUCUUUCUGUCUGUGGCUGUCACUCCUGAUCUGCCUGGGACCAAGUCCUACUCAGGGUGUCAUUUGUUGUCACUUCUUCAGUGAGCAACUGUUUUCCCAAGACUCAUGGGUGUGUGAUGUUUUUUCUGAUUCACUGUAGUUAAAAAUUUUGUUUCUUUCUUGUUACUAUCUUCUCAGCCUGCUCAUGUGUACACAGUCCUAAAUCAGGUCUCAGGGCUACAUAAUCCUCCAGGGGCGUGUUAGACAAGGAAGGAGGUGGUUGAACCCUCCUGUGCCCAGCCCAGGGUCUAGGCCUGGAUCAGAGGCCUGAGUGGGCUGAGAACUUCUGAUGGUUCAGGGGGUCAGUAUGCCCCAGGCCCACCUCC